GCAAGUCUGGUGCCAGCAGCCGCGGUAAUUCCAGCUCCAAUAGCGUAUAUUAAAGUUGUUGCAGUUAAAAAGCUCGUAGUUGAAUUUCGGGAUCAAUAUUUCGGUCAUGCCGUUGGUAUGCACUGUUAUCAUUGAUUUCUCACCUUCUAAAGAACCAUAAUGCCAUUAAUUUGGUGUUACUGGGAAUUAGGACUGUUACCUUGAAAAAAUUAGAGUGUUUAAAGCAGGCUCACGCUUGAAUACAUUAGCAUGGAAUAAUGAAAUAGGACAUCCGAUUCUAUUUUGUUGGUUUCUAGGAUCGAUGUAAUGAUUAAUAGGGAUAGUUGGGGGCAUUAGUAUUCAAUUGUCAGAGGUGAAAUUCUUGGAUUUAUUGAAGACUAACUACUGCGAAAGCAUUUGCCAAGGAUGUUUUCAUUAAUCAAGAACGAAAGUUAGGGGAUCGAAGACGAUCAGAUACCGUCGUAGUCUUAACCAUAAACUAUGCCGACUAGGGAUCGGAUGAUGUUAAUUUUUUAAUGACUCAUUCGGCGCCUUACGGGAAAC
rnacentral:rRNA from 1 species